GCGCUGGUGGUGAAACUGGUAGACACGCUAUCUUGAGGGGGUAGUGCCAAUAGGUGUGCGAGUUCAAAUCUCGCUCAGCGCACCA
rnacentral:tRNA from 1 species